rnacentral:rRNA from 1 species
CACGUAGGGGGCGAGCGUUGUCCGGAUUUAUUGGGCGUAAAGGGCUUGUAGGUGGCCAACUAAGUCAGACGUGAAAUCCCUCGGCUUAACCGGGGAACUGCGUCUGAUACUGGAUGGCUCGAGUUUGGGAGAGGGAUGCGGAAUUCCAGGUGUAGCGGUGAAAUGCGUAGAUAUCUGGAGGAACACCGGUGGCGAAGGCGGCAUCCUGGACCAACACUGACACUGAAAAGCGAAAGCCAGGGGAGCAAACGGG